UACGGAGGGUGCAAGCGUUGUUCGGAAUUAUUGGGCGUAAAGCGCGCGCAGGUGGGCCACUAAGUCUGAUGUGAAAUCCCUCGGCUCAACCGAGGACGUGCAUUGGAUACUGGUGGUCUUGAGUCCUGGAGAGGGAAGCGGAAUUCCCAGUGUAGAGGUGAAAUUCGUAGAUAUUGGGAGGAACACCGGUGGCGAAGGCG
rnacentral:rRNA from 1 species